GACAGAGGUGCCAAGCGUUAGGCGGAAUCACUGGGCGUAAAGAGCGUGUAGGCGGCCACACAGGUCUGCUGUGAAAACUCGAGGCUCAACCUCGAGCUGUCGGUGGAAACCGUGUGGCUAGAGUCCGGAAGAGGAGAGUGGAAUUCCCGGUGUAGCGGUGAAAUGCGCAGAUAUCGGGAAGAACACCCGUGGCGAAGGCGGCUCUCUGGGACGGUACUGGACGCUGA
rnacentral:rRNA from 1 species